rnacentral:rRNA from 1 species
UACGGAGGGGGCAAGCGUUGUUCGGAUUUACUGGGCGUAAAGGGCGCGUAGGCGGCUUUGUAAGUUACUUGUGAAAUCUCUGAGCUUAACUCAGAACUGCCAAGUAAUACUGCAGGGCUAGAGUGCAGAAGGGGCUACUGGAAUUCUUGGUGUAGAGGUGAAAUGCGUAGAUAUCAAGAGGAACACCUGUGGCGAAGGCGGGUUGCUGGGCUGUCACUGACGCUGAGGCGCGAAAGCUAGGGGAGCAAACAGG